rnacentral:lncRNA from 1 species
GUGUUGAUUAUUUGAACUUAUUUUUGUGUAAAUUUGAAGUUGGAUAGGUCUUUUACGGAGAAAAAAAGUUGAGGAUUUUUAACUUCUUAGGUAAUUUAACCUAUGUAUUUAGGUUAUAUAAGUAAAGCGUGCAUGAAAUUCUGUAGGGCCAAAGAGCCCAUCUAUGAGCUUCCAUGUAGGGGCUUUUCAUUCUUUCGAUCCAUGGUGUGAUAUUCAUUUUCAUACAAAAGAAGAUUCUUGAAUAUAUUUAGUAAGGGAACAAAGAAAAUGAUGCAACUAUUAGACUAUAAGUUAAAGAGUACAAAAAGUUACUAAAUAAUUUUUGUGUUGCCAAAGACUAUAACCGCUAUGCAAAACUAGUGUUAGAAUUAUAGCCACAAAGAAUAUUAAAUUUUAAUCAUAAAAAAGUAUAAAUAUAAAAUGGUCAAGAUGUUUACCAGCUGUAACGGCAAUAAUCUUGGAUCCAUCUCCCAAAAUUAUCAUUCUAUUCAACAUCUGCAAAAGGAAAAAAAUGAAAAAGAAAUCCAUUAGAAGAAUUGUUCAUCUUAACAAACAAACAAAUCUCCUAAUUUCACUGCAUAAACAAUAUAAAUCUCAGCAGAAAUCAACAACCCAUUUCAAAUCCAAUUAAAACAAAUUCCAAAAAAAAGGAAAAAAAGGAAAAGAAAAAGAAAAAGAUAUCGCCGUUCGAAUCCCAAUCCUAAUUCCAUCGCUGACGGACUAACAAAUCAAGCAGUAAUUUCCACCGCAAUGACAAUGGGGAUGAUUUCAACUUUGGGUUUGUUCUUGACAUGCAUUGUAGCGAUUGCGAGUGCAGGUUCGCCAUCGCCAGGGUCGAAUGCGGGGGAUUGCUCGGAAGUGGUGUUCCAAAUGCUACCGUGCGUGGAUUACCUAACGAUUGGGAGCACGAAGGCGAAUGCCUCACUGGUUUGC